rnacentral:rRNA from 1 species
GAUGAACGCUGGCGGCGUGCCUAAUACAUGCAAGUCGAGCGAACAGAUAAGGAGCUUGCUCCUUUGACGUUAGCGGCGGACGGGUGAGUAACACGUGGGUAACCUACCUAUAAGACUGGAAUAACUCCGGGAAACCGGGGCUAAUGCAGGAUAACAUGUUGAACCGCAUGGUUCUACCGUGAAAGGCGGCUUUGCUGUCACUUAUAGAUGGACACGCGCCGUAUUCGCUAGUUGGUGAGGUAACGGCUCACCAAGGCCACGAUACGUAGCCGACCUGAGAGGGAGGUCGCCCACACUGGAACUGAGACACGGCCCAGACUCCUACGCGAGGCAGCAGUAGGGAAUCUUCCGCAAUGGGGCAAAGCCUGACGGUGCAACGCCGCGGGAGUGAUGAUGGUCUUCUGAUCGUAAAACUCUGUUAUUCGUGAAGUACAAAUGCGUAAGUAACUGUGCGCGUUUUGACGGUACCUAAUCAGAAAGCCACGGCUAACUACGUG